rnacentral:rRNA from 1 species
AUACGGAGGGAGCAAGCGUUAUUCGGAAUCACUGGGCGUAAAGCGCGCGUAGGCGGUUUGUUAAGUUGGAUGUGAAAGCCCCGGGCUUAACCUGGGAGGGUCAUUCAAAACUGGCAGACUAGAGUGUGGUAGAGGGUAGUGGAAUUCCUAGUGUAGAGGUGAAAUGCGUAGAGAUUAGGAGGAACACCAGUGGCGAAGGCGACUGCCUGGACCAACACUGACGCUGAGGUGCGAAAGCGUGGGUAGCGAACAGGAUUAGAAACCCCGGUAGUCC